AAGGUGGAGACCGGGCACAGGGUGAUCUUAAUGAUCUUGAAGGUCUUUUCCAGGCUCGGUGAUUGUGGGAUCUGUGAGCCUCGGGCUCUCCCGGCUGGUGAGAGCGGGUGGGCGAGCACUCUCUCCAGCGACGUCAGCGCCGCUCCGCCGGCAGCCAGCGCUGGGGAGGGGGCGAGAGGCGCUUCUCGGGAAAGUACUUCCACACCCACCACGAACCCUCUGGGAUAGACGUGAUCUUUGCCACCUAAGAACGAAAGCUGAAUUUGCAGCAGCAGUAAUGCCCAAGCCACAUCUGGCUCGUGAUGCACAUGGGAUCAGACCGGGACUUUGGGAGGAGGAGGAUCUGGAUUCAGAGAUAUGAAAGGCGAAGCAGAGACAUCUGAUGGGGCUCCAGCGCUGACUCACUGUUUGAUGUGAGGCAGGAGGAGAGAUGUGAUCAGAUCCCUCUGUGCAGAGCAGCCACCAGACAACGCGUCACCGGGCAAAGAGACUCCUGCUCCUCCCAGCCCCUCAAACAGUGGAUCAGCCCUCACCAUCCCCUUCUCCUCCUGAGCUCUGCAGAGACCACCCAGCCAGCGCAGCACCCGGAUGUCACCUCUGAAAUGGCUCUUAGGUUGUGGACUCCCCAUCCCUGGCAGUGUCCAAGGCCAGGUUGGACGGGGCUUGGAGCAACCUG